GUUACACCUUCUCUGGUCAGUCUCACAGCUGCGCGGUGGCAGACAGGACUUGUUCCACAGUGGUAACUGGGAUAGAGCUGAUGUGGCCCCAACCCCACCUCCCUUCCCGCCCUGCCAUGUCGGAAGAAACCCGACGAGCAAAUUGGCAGCAGCAAAGAAAAAGUUGAGAGACUAUCAGUGGAGGAACAGCCCUGGUGUUCCUACAGGAGUGAAAAAGAAAAUUAAAAAUUGCAGUAACCCCGAGACAACCACUUCUGGUGGUUGCCACUCACCUGGAGAUGUAAUGGAGGCAUGUAGACAAAUACAACUGGAGAGAGAUACAUUUGCUGAGAUUCUUAAAGGAGAGAGAGCCACAUGGCAGCAGAGGAUGAAUCAGAUGUCGGAGCAGAUGCACACACUGAGGGAGGAGAAGGAGUGUAUUAUGAAUCGGUUACAGGAGCUGGAGACAAGCUUGGUGGAAUUGAGAAAACAGAUGACUGAACUCCCAGCCCUGGCACCCCCAGCAAGGCCCUCCGAGGUGGAGCAGCAGCUACAAGAGGAGGCUGAGCACCUGAGGGAGGAGCUGGAGAGUCUGGCAGGACAGCUCCAAGCCCAGGAGCACCUGGAAGCUGCCAGCCAGAGAACCAGCAGCUACAGGCCCAGCUGAGCCUCAUGGCUCUCCCUGAGGAAGGUACGGGAGAUCACUCAGAGGAAGAGGAGGGAGCCCAGGAGGAAGGGGGGACUGUUAGCAGAUAGGAGUGAGGAGUUUAGAACAGCUGGUCACUAUGCCGACCGGGUUUCUGCGUUAAGUUCGGCAUCAAAACGGUGACCUGGGAGUAGAGGGGCCACCAGGUUGCCUAAGGAUGGGUGAACUGGCCCAAGUCAGAAAUGAAGCAGGUCAGAACUCCCCUGCCGGGCAGUAGUGGAACUGAGCUUGGGCAACAUAGUGCGACUUUGGUUCUCAAAAAAAAAAUAAAAAUAAAUUACAGCUGCUCAUUCCCCUCUGGAGAGGGACUGGCCCAGGGUUAUACAGUGACGGUUGAGGCAGAGGUGGGCCCACCCUACUUCCCUUGUUGGGUCGCGUGAGGACCCCUCUAGCUCUGUGCCCUAGGAGGUAGACUGGACGGAGGGUGGGGGAGAAGGAGGGGCGGGGGGGGGAGGAGGAGGAGGAUGAGGAUGAGGAGGAGAAGGAGAAGGAGAAGAAGAAGAAGAAGAAGGAGGAGAAGGAGAAGGAGGAGGAGGCGUCUCGGCCCAUGAAGAGCAUCCUGCAGGACCUGGAAAGCCAGGAGUCCAUGGUGGCAUUUUUAACAUCAGCUGUAGCCAGUGCAGAUGGGGAGCAGGCUCGGCUCCGUGGGCAGCUGAAGGAGCAAAGGCUGCGCUGCCGGUGCCUGGCUCACCUGCUGGCCUGGGCCCAGAAGCAGCCAGAGGCAGCAGCCCCAGCCCCAGGGACUGGGAUGGAUUCUGUGUGUGGGGGGACCCACCGGGCCCUGCAGGGUGCCAUGGAGAAACUGCAGAGCUGCUUUAUGCAGCUGAUGCAGGAAAAGGUGGACCUGAAAGAGCGGGUGGAGGAGCUGGAACAUCGCUGCAUCCAGCUCUCUGGAGAGACAGACACCAUCGGAGUCUACACUGCCCUCUCUCAGCCAGGGGGCAGCGCUGAAGGAGCAGCACCGAGAGGAGGAGGAGCACAUCCACAGGCUAGCCCAGGACAAGGAGGAGAUGAAGAUCUUUGCCAGGUGACCCUCACCAGCAGCGUGGAGCCUGCACAAGGAGAGGCCGGGGAGGGUUCUCCCCUCGACAACCCCAGUGCACAGCAGAUCAUGCAGCUGUUUGGUGAGAUGCAGAACCCUCAGGAGCGCCCAGGCUUGGGCAGCAUCCCCUGCAUUCUGUUUUCCCACCAGGCUGACAAAAACCACCAGGUGAAGAUCACCCUCAUCUGAAAGCCAGUUGCCUUCAGCAAAGCCAGGAGAAGGGGGGUGGGAGGCUCCGCCCCCCCAUGUCCCUCCCACCCCUUUGCAGUCACCCCUUUACCCUUAAAGUAAAUGGAUUUAGCCAUA